rnacentral:rRNA from 1 species
UCCCAGUUCGGAUAAGAGGCUGAAACUCGCCUCUUUGAAGUCGGAAUCGCUAGUAAUCGCAGAUCAGCAUGUUGCGGUGAAUACGUUUCCUGGUCUUGUACACACCGCCCGUCAAACCAUGAGAGUCGCCAACACCCGAAGUCCGCUUUGCGGCCUAAGGUGGGGGAGAUGAUUGGGGUUAAGUCGUAACAAGGUAUC